GCCAUCCGUGGAAGAGGCUCGCGACGUGUUUUUCGUUCGCCAGGCGGUGGAGCGAUGCGUCGUGGAGCGUCUCUGCAGUUCGAUGUCGAAGGAUGGCG
rnacentral:tRNA from 1 species